AUCAGCAGCCAUAUCACCCUGCAAUUCACAACUGGCAGCCCACUGAAGCUAAGCAGGUGUGAGCCUGGUCAGUACCUUGAUGGAAGAGACCUCCUGGGAAAAACUAAGGUUGCUGCUGGAA
rnacentral:rRNA from 1 species